rnacentral:rRNA from 1 species
AUAAGCGGAGGAAAAGAAACUAACAAGGAUUCCCCUAGUAACGGCGAGUGAAGCGGGAAGAGCUCAAAUUUGUAAUCUGGCACUUUCAGUGUCCGAGUUGUAAUCUCGAGAAGUAUUUUCCGCGCCGGACCGCAUACAAGUCUGUUGGAAUACAGCGUCAUAGUGGUGAGAACCCCGUAACUGAUGCGGAUGCCCGGUGCUUUGUGAUAUACUUUCGAAGAGUCGAGUUGUUUGGGAAUGCAGCUCAAAUUGGGUGGUAAAUUCCAUCUAAAGCUAAAUAUUGGAGCAAGACCGAUAGCGAACAAGUACCGUGAGGGAAAGAUGAAAAGCACUUUGGAAAGAGAGUUAACAGUACGUGAAAUUGUUGGAAGGGAAACGCUUGAAGUCAGACUUGCUAUUCGGAGUUCAGCCGCAAGGUGUAUUCUUCGAUUUGCAGGCCAGCAUCAGUUUUUGGGGGUGGAAAAUCGUGGUUUGAAGGUAGCAGUUUCGGCUGUGUUAUAGCUUUCCACUGGAUUCAUCUUCGGGGACUGAGGAACGCAGUACGCUUUUUGCAAGGCUCUCGAGCUUUUCGUACUAGGAUGCG